GACGAACGCUGGCGGCGUGCUUAACACAUGCAAGUCGAGCGGUAAGGCCCCUUCGGGGGUACACGAGCGGCGAACGGGUGAGUAACACGUGGGUGACCUGCCCUCAGCUCUGGGAUAAGCCUGGGAAACUGGGUCUAAUACCGGAUAUGACUCCAUGACGCAUGUUGUGGGGUGGAAAGCCUUGUGCGGCUGAGGAUGGGCCCGCGGCCUAUCAGCUUGUUGGUGGGGUGAUGGCCUACCAAGGCGACGACGGGUAGCCGGCCUGAGAGGGCGACCGGCCACACUGGGACUGAGACACGGCCCAGACUCCUACGGGAGGCAGCAGUGGGGAAUCUUGCGCAAUGGGCGAAAGCCUGACGCAGCGACGCCGCGUGAGGGAUGACGGCCUGG
rnacentral:rRNA from 1 species